rnacentral:lncRNA from 1 species
AUAACCAUACAUUCAUAUAUCCAUACACCAUUCACUACAGGUUCAUAUACAGAGAUUUGAACAUAAAUGCACAACUAUUAGUUGAAAUAUUUCCUACUCGGAAACUUAUUUUGAAAUACUAAUUUAUGAAAACCACGAGAAAACCUUUUUAAAACCGUUUCUCACACGGAAAUCCUUUUUCUUCUUUAAACACGCUACCACGAGG